AACGAACGCUGGCGGCAUGCCUAACACAUGCAAGUCGAACGAGACCUUCGGGUCUAGUUGCGCACGGGUGCGUAACGCGUGGGAAGCUGCCCCUAGGCUCGGAAUAACUCCCCGAAAGGGGUGCUAAUACCGGUUAAUGUCUUCGGACCAAAGAUUUAUCGCCUUUGGUUGGGCCCGCGUUGGAUUAGCUAGUUUGUAGGGUAAAAGCCUACUAAGGCGACGAUCCAUAGCUGGUCUGAGAGGAUGAUCAGCCACACUGGGACUGAGACACGGCCCAGACUCCUACGGGAGGCAGCAGUGGGGAGUAUUAGACAAUGGGCGAAAGCCUGAUCCAGCAAUGCCGCGUGAGUGAUGAAGGCCUUAGAGUUGUAAAGCUCUUUUUCCCGGGAUGAUAAUGACAGUACCGGGAGAAUAAGCUCCGGCUAACUCCGUG
rnacentral:rRNA from 1 species